rnacentral:tRNA from 1 species
GCCCGGAUAGUGUAGCGGCCUAGCACUGGACCCUGUCACGGUCCCAACCCGAGUUCGAAUCUCGGUCCGGGCG